GACGAACCGUGCGAACGUUAUUCGGAAUCACUGGGCUUAAAGGGCGCGUAGGCGGGCUCGCACGUCAGGGGUGAAAUCCCACGGCCCAACCGUGGAAGUGCCCCUGAUACGGCGGGCCCCGAGGGGGGUAGGGGCGUGCGGAACUCAGGGUGGAGCGGUGAAAUGCGUAGAUAUCCUGAGGAACACCGGUGGCGAAAGCGGCGCGCUGGACCCCUUCUGACGCUGAGGCGCGAAAGCCAGGGGAGCGAACGGG
rnacentral:rRNA from 1 species